AGUAGAAUGAUGUAUAAAAAAUUGACCUGCGAAUGUUAAGACAUGAACAAGAAUUCCAAAUGUUAGUUGAAAAAAGAAGGAUAGAAGCCAAAAUGUUGUAAUAGUCAAACUGAUACCAAUACCACGAACAGCUGAUGGUAACACCUAAACAAACUACAGUGUUUUGAUAACAUACAGAAAAUUUUUUUUACUUCACUAGCGACAACAAACAUUAAACCAGCCCAUGAUAUAUUCCAAGAAAAAAUAAAUAUAUAAAAAUUAAUAAUAAGACUUGUAAUAAGUAUUUUUUGAGAGCCAAUUUUAUCCAAAAGAUAAAAUAAUAUCUAAAGGGUAUUUUACCGAAAACACAACAUGCCCAAUACAUGUGACAAUUGACCCCCACAACAAAAUCGGACGUCGACCUAUUUUAUCCACUAGGAAAAUCGCUGACAAUAUACCGCAAAACUAAAAAAUCACAUGAAAGAAUUUUGAAAAUAAUUGAGUUUUUUUUCUUAAUAAAUUGAAAAAAAUAUACUUUUGAGAGUCCAACGCCAAAGGAAAAAAGACGAAUAUCACUCACAAAAGAUUUCUUUUUCAGUAUUGGAACAGUAUAGUAAAUUAAAUUAUUACCAAACAUAAAAUUUUGAGCACAAGCACACCCAAUAGCAAUGAAAAGUUGUUUGCGAUAAAGGCGUAAAAACCUCAAGUAAUUUGUGAAUCCUUGACAUUGUUUUUGAAUCC